UUCAGCAGGAAGUAGCCAGAAAGAGUCGU
rnacentral:piRNA from 2 species